rnacentral:rRNA from 1 species
CAAGUCGAACGGCAGCAUGAUCUAGCUUGCUAGAUUGAUGGCGAGUGGCGAACGGGUGAGUAAUACAUCGGAACGUGCCCUGUAGUGGGGGAUAACUAGUCGAAAGAUUAGCUAAUACCGCAUACGACCUGAGGGUGAAAGUGGGGGACCGCAAGGCCUCAUGCUAUAGGAGCGGCCGAUGUCUGAUUAGCUAGUUGGUGAGGUAAAGGCUCACCAAGGCGACGAUCAGUAGCUGGUCUGAGAGGACGAUCAGCCACACUGGGACUGAGACACGGCCCAGACUCCUACGGGAGGCAGCAGUGGGGAAUUUUGGACAAUGGGGGCAACCCUGAUCCAGCAAUGCCGCGUGUGUGAGGAAGGCCUUCGGGUUGUAAAGCACUUUUGUCCGGAAAGAAAUCGCACUUACUAAUAUUAGGUGUGGAUGACGGUACCGGAAGAAUAAGGACCGGCUAACUACGUGCCAGCAGCCGCGGUAAUACGUAGGGUCCAAGCGUUAAUCGGAAUUACUGGGCGUAAAGCGUGCGCAGGCGGUUGUGCAAGACCGAUGUGAAAUCCCCGGGCUUAACCUGGGAAUUGCAUUGGUGACUGCACGGCUAGAGUGUGUCAGAGGGGGGUAGAAUUCCACGUGUAGCAGUGAAAUGCGUAGAGAUGUGGAGGAAUACCGAUGGCGAAGCAGCCCCCUGGGAUAACACUGACGCUCAUGCACGAAAGCAUGGGGAGCAANCAGGAUUAGAUACCNUGGUAGUCCACGCCCUAAACGAUGUCAACUAGUUGUUGGGGAUUCAUUUCCUUAGUAACGUAGCUAACGCGUGAAGUUGACCGCCUGGGGAGUACGGUCGCAAGAUUAAAACUCAAAGGAAUUGACGGGGACCCGCACAAGCGGUGGAUGAUGUGGAUUAAUUCGAUGCAACGCGAAAAACCUUACCUACCCUUGACAUGCCACUAACGAAGCAGAGAUGCAUUAGGUGCUCGAAAGAGAAAGUGGACACAGGUGCUGCAUGGCUGUCGUCAGCUCGUGUCGUGAGAUGUUGGGUUAAGUCCCGCAACGAGCGCAACCCUUGUCUCUAGUCGCUACGAAAGGGCACUCUAGAGAGACUGCCGGUGACAAACCGGAGGAAGGUAGGGAUGACGUCAAGUCCUCAUGGCCCCUAUGGGUAGGGCUUCACACGUCAUACAAUGGUGCAUACAGAGGGUUGCCAAGCCGCGAGGUGGAGCUAAUCCCAGAAAAUGCAUCGUAGUCCGGAUCGUAGUCUGCAACUCGACUACGUGAAGCUGGAAUCGCUAGUAAUCGCGGAUCAGCAUGCCGCGGUGAAUACGUUCCCGGGUCUUGUACACACCGCCCGUCACACCAUGGGAGUGGGUUUUGCCAGAAGUAGUUAGCCUAACCGCAAGGGGGGCGAUUACCACGGCAGGGUUCAUGACUGGGGUGAAGUCGUAACAAGG